UUGAUGAAUGUCUUCUUGCUGGACGACAGUUGCACUAGUCUAGUCUAUUAGUUUCUUCAUCCUUGCCCGCAAAUAGCAGAUGAAGGUUGAAUGAAUGAGAAAUUACAGCUACUAGAGGACGAGGCCGUGGAAGAGCACGAGCACGAUGAUACCAGCAAAGAGGAAAAAUAUGGAGACCAUUUGGAAGUUUUUGGAGAGGUGGUGGCGGUAGAGGCGGUAGAGGAGAUAGAGGAGGCAUAAAAGAACGUCGCUAUAACAAUUUGCUUUUACGCGCCAUUCAUACUUCAAUUGGUGUAUAUCUCCAUUUCGUAUUGACAUCACCUGUUUAGUUCGGCCACAUCCUUAGUACAGGGCAUCAAUCAUGAAUCUUUUCACCCAUCAACCGUGUAGGUAAAACGUGAAAAGCCAUGGAUGCUUCCGAAAUAUCCAGAGUUGGAUCGAGUUGAGUUAGUUUUACUAUAGUAUAUGUAUCAACUCAACCCAGCGCAUUUGCAUAGAGCAUAAUUACAUUAAAGUGAGAAAAUAAUAGAUUAUAAAUAUUCUCAUGUUUGCUUAUAAUAUUUCUUCAUGUUAUAUAUUAUUUUUUUAGAAUGAAUGUAACACACAAACAAAAAAUAAAAUAAUAAAAUAAUAAAAUUAAUUACAAUAAUAUAAUAAUAAUUAUUAUUACCUAUAUAAUUUCUGAAAUUGUUUUUCUAGGAUAUCAAAAGGAUCUUGAGUAUCUCUUAAAAUUUUACGCAUAAUACGUAAAUUCUCGUUUCUUUCGUUUUGUUCCUCAUUAACUAUCCAUCAUGCAGCAACCAUCGUAAUUGAUUAACUUAUUAUGAAUAUGGAUAUUACUUUUUAGGGAAAAUAUCAAUUCGCAUGAAAGUUUUUAUUUUUUCACUUUUUCGCAUUAAAAUUUUCACUU